CACGUAGGCGGCUUGGUUAGUCAGAUGUGAAAGCCCGGGGCUUAACCCCGGAAGUGCAUUUGAUACUGCCAGGCUUGAGUAUGGGAGAGGGAAGUGGAAUUCCUGGUGUAGAGGUGAAAUUCGUAGAUAUCAGGAGGAACACCGGUGGCGAAGGCGACUUCCUGGACCAAUACUGACGCUGAGGUGCGAAGGCGUGGGUAGCAAACA
rnacentral:rRNA from 1 species